GGAUCAGUAUGUCGGUCGUGCCUCGGUAUGUACUGGCGUCACUGAUUCCUCCCUUCUGACGAACCAUCAUGCUAUUAAUUUAGUGUGGUGGGAAAUCAGGACUGUUACUUUGAAAAAAUUAGAGUGUUUAAAGCAGGCUCACGCUUGAAUACAUUAGCAUGGAAUAAUGAAAUAGGACGUUGAUCCUAUUUUGUUGGUUUCUAGGAUUGACGUA
rnacentral:rRNA from 1 species